UUAUUACACAUAUAUUCUGUAGGCUUACAGGGAUGACCAAGACCUCCUUAUAAAACACAUCCACCCUAAAUGAUUAUACACCAUCCAAAACAAAACUACACCACAUGUCUGUCGACUACUUGCUUAGCCUACUCGUUUUGGGAGCAGUGGUUCUCACUGCUCCUUCCCUUGCUCUUCGUUAUCCGAAUCAUAAUCCCCAACCAAAGCACAAGCCAAUCUCUUUUUCUUUUUUUUUGCUAAAUAAAAUUUUAUAAGAAAACAGGGAGAAACAAGAUCUAGGGGCAUACCCCGCGGCAAGGACUUGAUACAAGCAUCAAAGUCAAAGAAAGGAAAUCUGCUAAAGACAGGAAUCCACUGAGGGAAACAGCUAAACAACAAGAACUAAAAAAAGACUAGCCCAGGAACAAUACACAAACUACAAAAACUACAAUUGAAACUGAGCAUAAGGCAAACUAGUAAAUAAGACAUAAGAAAGAUGGGUCCCGAUGCACCCAUUUUCUAAAUCAGAGCACCAACCGCCACUUCAUAAACCACCACCAGAACACAAACUGUUGUUUCAUAAACCACCAGUUCCAUUGAGUCCUCAACAUCAAGAAACGUCAGAGAAAAAGCCAAUACGCUGGAAUCUCAGGCCAAGUCCCGCCUCUGCACCUCCCCUUCAUUUAAGUUCUGUUCCACCACCGCCCUCAUCUGUCAGCAUGAAUAAUCACCACCCUUGACACAAUCCGCAGAGAAUAAAAUCCACCAGAGGCAGAGCUCAGAGGUAGCACAGGGUGACCUAUCAUAUAGGAACGGAAAUAUGCAACCUCACUAUGAUUAUGAUUUCGUUGUCUGUAAACUUCUUUUACAAAGUAUCUUAUUCCCCGUUUAGGGAUUGAAUAAUGAUGUUUGAAUUUUGUUAUCAUCAGAUAUCUUUUAUAUUUAUUAGAAUUUCAUUAAUUGUUUAUAAGGGGUUCAUUCUCAGAAAUGUCACAUAGAUAUCCCAUGUCUGUGAUCCACCAUACCAAGUUGCAACUAGUUUACUAUAUAAGCUUGCUGUUUCAGUUAUUAACUUAUAAGAGAUGAAGUAUAGAAACUAGAAAACACCAUAAAACAAAUUAAAAGACUAUGCAUGAAGUGAAUAUAACAGAGCUCACCGUCCGGAUUGUAAUACUUACAAAAAUUUAACUCCCUCGUAUACUGAAGGAUGUGGACUGUUGCUUCGGUUUGGCUAACUCCAAAUUGGAUCAGGUUUUACAUUUUUUGUAGGAAAGUUAUUCAUCAAAAACUGUAUUCUACUUUAUAUUUUUACUUUUUUUUAAGCUACUCAAUAUUCUUAUUAUCUUCAGAAAUUGUGAUGAUAUAUAAAC
rnacentral:lncRNA from 1 species